UACGUAGGUGGCGAGCGUUAUCCGGAAUGAUUUGGGGCGUAAAAGGGGUGCGCAGGCGGUCCUGCAAGUCUGGAGUGAAAACGUAUGAGCUCAACUCAUGCAUGGCUCUGGAAAACUGGAGGACUGGAGAGCAGGGAGAGGGGCGGGUGGGAAACUCCAUGUGUAGCGGUAAAUGCGUAGAUAUAUGGAAGAACACCAGUG
rnacentral:rRNA from 1 species